rnacentral:rRNA from 1 species
AUAUCAAUAAGCGGAGGAAAAGAAACUAACAAGGAUUCCCCUAGUAACGGCGAGUGAGGCGGGAUGAGCUCAAAUUUAAAAUCUGGCUGGUUUACUAGUCCGAAUUGUAGUUUGUAGAAGAUGCUUUGGGUGUAGCUCCGGUCUAAGUUCCUUGGAACAGGACGUCAUAGAGGGUGAGAAUCCCGUAUGUGACUGGUUGCUUUCGCCCGUGUAAAGCUCUUUCGACGAGUCGAGUCGUUUGGGAAUGCAGCUCAAAAUGGGUGGUAUAUUUCAUCUAAAGCUAAAUAUUGGCCAGAGACCGAUAGCGCACAAGUA